GUCAGCCAACAGCGGUUUUAUGUGGUGGAUGUUGCUCGGUGUGGGGGCCCCGCACGUGGUGGAGAUUUGCCGCUGAUUGCAGGGGCGGCUUUGCUGGCGGGAUGCGCAUUGAAUGUCGCAUGCGAUUUAUCGUGCAGCCCUAGU